rnacentral:rRNA from 1 species
GAUGAACGCUGGCGGCGUGCCUAAUACAUGCAAGUCGAGCGAAUGGAUUAAGAGCUUGCUCUUAUGAAGUUAGCGGCGGACGGGUGAGUAACACGUGGGUAACCUGCCCAUAAGACUGGGAUAACUCCGGGAAACCGGGGCUAAUACCGGAUAACAUUUUGAACCGCAUGGUUCGAAAUUGAAAGGCGGCUUCGGCUGUCACUUAUGGAUGGACCCGCGUCGCAUUAGCUAGUUGGUGAGGUAACGGCUCACCAAGGCAACGAUGCGUAGCCGACCUGACAGGGUGAUCGGCCACACUGGGACUGAGACACGGCCCAGACUCGUACGGGAGGCAGCAGUAGGGAAUCUUCCGCAAUGGACGAAAGUCUGACGGAGCAACGCCGCGUGUGUGAUGAAGGCUUUCGGGUCGUAAGCCUCUGUUGUUUGGGAAGAACAAGUGCUAGUUGAAUAAGCUGGCACCUUGACGGUACCUAACCAGAAAGCCACGGCUAACUACGUGCCAGCCGCCGCAGUAA